GGUAUGUUUUCAAAAAAUUUGUUUUUGAUGAUAACCUUUGGUUGGAGCUCCAUGGUCUAGUUGAACACUUGCAAGAAAUUUGGUUCAUUUUGUUGUAUAAGUGAUGUUUGUGCUCAAAUCUAUCUUAUAAAAACAAAUGGUUUUGGCACCAUGUAACGGUUCUGGAUGGUUAUUCUUAACUGAUAACAGUUCAUAUUCUUUCCAAACUGCCUCUCGGUGCAAGAGAUAAAUCUCGGCGGAGAAUUAACCCACCUCCAACGCCCCCAUCCGACGUAUGUGAGUAAUUCAAAACGGCUUUGAGGCAAAUAUCAGGGUCUUUCAGCGGGAAUCAAUGAAAAACGCAUCAACGGGAAUCAAUGUCUCCCUCAUUGUCAUUUAUAGAUCAAAAAGAAAACGCAACGAAGGAACUCAGUGUUGUUCCUUCAAAUGUGAAUCUAAAUUAUAAAACCACACACAGACAAUCUCAAUCCUAAAACCAGGAGAGUCGGUUUUUGAAAUUGUUAGGGUUUCUUUGUAGUCCAUUAUCUGGGCUUAUGGAAGCUGCUCUUUCUAAUGGGGGACUAAUUCUCUCAGCCACAAUGAAAGUUUUUUCGUCGUUGUAACUCGCUCUUCAUUCAUCUAACCAUCUAUGGCAAAAUUUGUGUUGAUGCUCGACAUAUUUGGAAACAAACCAACAUCCAUCAGUUUGCAGAACCAACUCCAAGGGGUCUUUGCAGUGAACAAUUCGUAUAAAUAAAUGUUUACUUCAGAUGAACCAAGGGGUCUUUGCAGCGACUGAACAAUUCAUAUAAAUAAGUGUUUCAUUCAGAUUCUUGGUAUUCCUACUAUAAUGUUAGGCUACAUAUGGGAUGACUGCUCUCUUGGUCACACACACCAGCCUCAUUUUAAAAUACCUAUCUACUUUUUCGGAUCCAACAACAACAAUUAAGACAGUCUGAUGUUCAUUGAAUUGCAACCAGGCACGGUUCUAUCACACUAGAAGUCAUGAUGCACAACAGAAAUUAAGAAUUCUCAACUAAUAUUACAACUCAGUGACAUCUGUAACCCUAUAUGCAGUUAAAAAUUAACCUCUGUGUACCAGUUACAGGUACAUGUUUUUUAAUGGGUGUCUAUUAUUACGGAAGAAAAACCAACUCGAAACACAAUGAAGGAUAUGGUAAAUCUCUUUGUCUAAUCUUGUUGUCUAUUUCUAUAGCGUCGUUGGUGAUUUUGCAGCUGCUACGUAUCUGUUGCAAUUUUUUUCUUCGCUCUCUCAGUCUCUGGCUAUCUCUCAUUUCUUUGGGACUGAGUCCUAAAAGAGUUACUGCUCGACAAAAUAAAGGGGUGACGCAAAAUACUUUUGUUAGUUUAUGUUUGCUAGCGAUAUUGAUCAAAUGAUGCUUAAAGUUUUAGAAAUUGUAUACUUUAAAAUACCCUUCUGCGUAAGUAUGUAUUUGAUUUCUUUAUUCCCAAAUAAGAGCUUUGUUGAGUUGUGUUAUAACAUUGUAGGAUUCAAUGCUUUUGUGAAGUUGUAAAGUUAAGCAUAGAAAGAUAUAGGCAUGUUAAAACGGAUCAUCACUUGAACAUUUUUGAGGUCUAAAUUUGUAAUCUUAUUUUUAAAGUUAAGUAUUUCUUCUUAUUUUUAUAUCCAAAUUACAUGAUGAUGGUGAUCAAG